UUAGAUCUUGACACACGUAUAAUUUUAGGACAGAAAACCAAUUCUAUUAACUAAUUUUACAAAAACCCAAGUGGCAUCUCAAAUAGAAGACAAUUGUUAUAUAUUUGGACAAAGCUAACUAUCUUUGUAAUUAAUAUUACUUUUGAAUUUUAAAAUUUAGAAUUUGAUUUAAAUUUCACUGGAAUUUUUUUAAAUUGAAUUAUGGUAACUGGUAACUCUGCAUAAUCCAAGGCACGUUGGACUCUUUUUUUUUUUUUUUUGGAGGUUUUAAGGUGAAUAACCAUUCACAUUUCAAUAAGAACAACUAUAUUUUAUUCUUUAAAUAAAAGGGAGUGUGGCCUAGGAUUAUUACAACUGGUUGUGUUAAUUUAUUUAUUUAUUCAUUUGAAUUGACAUAUAAAAAAAAAAACUUAUGUUUAGGUCAUCACAAUUCACAGCUUUACAUACAUUUAUGGUGAAAAUUUGUUGAAAAGAUAGCAUAUCUGUUAUUUUAAAAGAGAAAAAAAAAAAGGGAUAAGGAAGGAAAAGACCCAAACAAAUUUACCUAAACCAACCCCCCUCACCCACGUAUCUCUUACUUCCCAUUUCCCUAAAAUCCCAAUCACCUUUAUCGCUUAUAGUUCCACUGUUUCUGUUUUCAUGUACUAAAAUAAGCAAUAGAGUCGAGAUACAAGAUAUGUAAACCAUGUUAAAAGUUACGAUGAAAUAAUUUUGGAAGAUCAAAUUCUACUGCAUGAAGAUCAGUAUAUGUUGCCAUUUUCAUUGAUAAGGCAGACUUAUCUUUUAACAGGGAAGUCUAGAUUUAUUCACUUGCCACCAUAUAUAAUUUGAGUUUUAUGUAUGUGUUGUUUUGUUGCAGGUAUCAUGGAAGCAUUUACCUUAAAUCAAAAAUAGAAAAUUACAUUAGAAGCUAGAUAAAAGUUCAUGGUGUACCUAUACUGAACGUUCUUUGCAUAUAAAUUAUUUACAGUUCUAGAUAAUACUAUUUUUGUUGAUAGAUUUAAGUUGAACUAUAAAAUAUAUUGAAUUGAAAGAAAAAAAAAAUUGAUGUUGUUAGUUUGAUUUGAAAUAAAAGUGUUGUUAUACUCUAAUCAAUCUUAUCUUUGUUAUAAAACAUACGUUGAGCUUGAACGAUAUAGAACUGCUAUAUAAUUGGAAGAAACUAGAACCGCAGCUCUCCUCCCAAUUUAAUAAAUAUAAACAUCGAUAUAAACCCAAAUCUUCUAUAAACUAUAAUACUUUAUUAAUACUAGACUCUUGCUACUUCUAUAAACUUUUUUUUUUUUUGGUUAAUACUAGUCUCUUGCUACUUAGAUUUUGUUGUAAUUGCUCAUGUUUAUGUUGGUUUCAUGUCUCCCCCUCUCUCUCUCUCUCUUUUUUGCGAUUUUAAAAGUUUUUUGUUUGCCGGAACAAUCUCAGCACGUAUAUUAAUGAGGAGGAUGAAAGAGAUGCAAAUCUUGCUUUUGAUGAGAUACUGAGUGAAAAUGAUUGAAGGUAGGUCAAACUAUAACAACAUGUUUUUAGUUUCUGUUGACUGAAGUUAAUAAAAUCAAUUUUCAACAAUUACUGAGCUAUAGUUUUUUUUUUGACGCGGUUGAUUUAAAAAUAUACUAGAGAAAUGCAAAUGAAAGAUAUGAACUUUUUGUUAGGUCAACUAGCGAUUUAGGCCAUUUAGGCCCAUUGCCUGACUUCCAGAUUGGUAUUUCGAAGCUGAUGUAAUGAAAUCCAUAAUGAAAUUGAUUGUUUCUUGAUGUAAAAAUGUGAGGAAACUGCAUCCUAGAAAUUGAUAAUUGAUGUAAGCAGUUGACGAUGCAUGCUGCACGUAACAUAUGAUUUUAAAACAAUAAUGUGAGGAUGAAAUAUCAGCAUUGUAAAUGUUUUUAUAUCAGAGACACAUUUCCAUGGUUUCCUGGUUGUACUAGAAUUUGGAUUCCAUUUCACGUAAAAUUACACCUAAGACCAUGAAAAUUUGUACUAUCACUAUAAACUCGUAGCAGUGCAAUCUGCCAGCUAAACCAACAUUUACAGAUAAUAUUGGAGAGCAAGCUUUGGAGAUUCGACAUGCAGGAGCAUCACAGAUGAAUACUUUGAUCCAGACUACUUCCUUUCAACUAUGGACUUGUUUUCAGACUCAGGGGCAGAUCCACCCUUUACGAUGGGGGUGGCAUGGCACCACCUCAAUUAAUAAAUUUUUUAUAUACUUAUAUUGUAAUUUGCUUAAAUUAGGUUAAAUAUUUGAUCUUGCCACCCCCGUUGUGAAUUAGACAGAGGUGCCACGGCUGAUAGACACAAGUUUGAAUCUAUUUUGAACAUUUUCCGA